rnacentral:rRNA from 1 species
AAUCAACGCUGGCGGCGUGCCUAACACAUGCAAGUCGAACGCGAAAGUCCCGCAAGGGAUGAGUAGAGUGGCAAACGGGUGAGUAACACGUGGGUGACCUGCCUUCGAGCGGGGGAUAACGUCCCGAAAGGGACGCUAAUACCGCAUAACAUCCUGCCUUUGAAGAGGCGGUGAUCAAAGCUGGGGAUCGCAAGACCUAGCACUUGAAGAGGGGCCCGCGCCCGAUUAGCUAGUUGGUGGGGUAAUGGCCCACCAAGGCAACGAUCGGUAGCCGGCCUGAGAGGGCGGACGGCCACACUGGGACUGAGACACGGCCCAGACUCCUACGGGAGGCAGCAGGUGGGGAAUUGUUCGCAAGUGGGCGCAAGCCUGACGACGCAACGCCGCGUGGAGGAUGAAGAUC